AACGAACGCUGGCGGCAGGCUUAACACAUGCAAGUCGAGCGCCCCGCAAGGGGAGCGGCAGACGGGUGAGUAACGCGUGGGAAUCUACCCAUCUCUACGGAAUAACGCAUGGAAACGUGUGCUAAUACCGUAUACGUCCUUCGGGAGAAAGAUUUAUCGGAGAUGGAUGAGCCCGCGUUGGAUUAGCUAGUUGGUGGGGUAAAGGCCUACCAAGGCGACGAUCCAUAGCUGGUCUGAGAGGAUGAUCAGCCACACUGGGACUGAGACACGGCCCAGACUCUUACGGGAGGCAGCAGUGGGGAAUAUUGGACAAUGGGCGCAAGCCUGAUCCUGCCAUGCAGCGUGAGUGAUGAAGGCCCUAGGGUUGUAAAGCUCUUUCACCGGUGAAGAUAAUGACGGUAACCGGAGAAGAAGCGCCGGCUAACUUCGUGCCAGCCGCCGCCGUAACAC
rnacentral:rRNA from 1 species